rnacentral:misc_RNA from 1 species
GGAAGGAUCAUUAAUGGAUUAAAACUUGGUUGAGCUGAUGCUGGUUCCUUGGAAUAUGUGCACGCCUGCCAUCGUUCUUUAACCACCUGUGCACCUUCUGUAGACUUUGAAACAAAUUUACUCGAGGCAACUCGGAUAUGAGAACUGCUGUGCUUUCAAUGGCCAGCUGUUUUUGGUAUUUCUUAGUCUAUGUGUUUUUACAAACCAUUUUGUAUGUCUUUGAAUGUUUGUGUUGGGCAUUUUGCCUUUAAAAUCUAAAUACAACUUUCAACAAUGGAUCUCUUGGCUCUCGCAUCGAUGAAGAACGCAGCGAAAUGCGAUAAGUAAUGUGAAUUGCAGAAUUCAGUGAAUCAUCGAAUCUUUGAACGCACCUUGCGCUCCUUGGUAUUCCGAGGAGCAUGCCUGUUUGAGUGUCAUUAAAUAUCUCAACCAUACCAGUCUUCUGUUAUGGCUUGGACAUGGGGCUUUUGUAGGCUUUUGACAACGGUCUGCUGCCCUUAAAUGCAUUAGCAAAGCUUUUUGUUGCUAGACAUUGGUGUGAUAGCUAUCAUCGCCAUUGGAAAAGCAACAUGAGUUUGAAGCUUGGCUUCUAAUCGUCUAAAGACAAUUAAUUUGAAUAUCUGACCUCAAAUCAGGUAGGACUACCCGCUGAACUUAAGCAUAUCAAUAAGCGGAGGAAAAGAAACUAACAAGGAUUCCCCUAGUAACUGCGAGUGAAGCGGGAAAAGCUCAAAUUUAAAAUCUGGUAGUCUUUGGCUGCCCGAGUUGUAAUCUAGAGAAGCGUUAUCCGUGCUGGACCGUGUAUAAGUCUUCUGGAAUGGAGCGUCAUAGAGGGUGAGAAUCCCGUCUUUGACACGGACUACCAGUGCUUUGUGAUGCGCUCUCAAAGAGUCGAGUUGUUUGGGAAUGCAGCUCUAAAUGGGUGGUAAAUUCCAUCUAAAGCUAAAUAUUGGCGAGAGACCGAUAGCGAACAAGUACCGUGAGGGAAAGAUGAAAAGAACUUUGGAAAGAGAGUUAAACAGUACGUGAAAUUGUUGAAAGGGAA